CAGAUUCAGGAGGAACACGAAUUGGGAAGGCAGGUCUUGGGCUGUUACUGACGCUGAGGGAGCGAAAGCAUGGGGAGCGAACAGGAUUAGAUACCCUGGUAGUCCAUGCCGUAAACGUUGGGCACUAGGUGUGGGGGACAUUCCACGUUUCCGCGCGUAGCUUAACGCAUUAAAGUGCCCCCGCCUGGGGAGUACGGCCGCAAGGCUAAAACUCAAAGGAAUUGACGGGGGCCCGCACAAGCGGCGGAGCAUGCGGAUUCAUACUCUCCGAUGCAACGCGAAGAACCUUACCAAGGCUUGACAUUCACCGGACCGCCCCAGAGAUGGGGUUUCCCUUCGGGGCUGGUGGACAGGUGGUGCAUGGUUGUCGUCAGCUCGUGUCGUGAGAUGUUGGGUUAAGUCCCGCAACGAGCGCAACCCUCGUUCUAUGUUGCCAGCACGUGAUGGUGGGGACUCAUAGGAGACUGCCGGGGUCAACUCGGAGGAAGGUGGGGAUGACGUCAAAUCAUCAUGCCCCUUAUGUCUUGGGCUUCACGCAUGCUACAAUGGCCGGUACAAAGGGUUGCGAUACUGUGAGGUGGAGCUAAUCCCAAAAAGCCGGUCUCAGUUCGGAUUGAGGUCUGCAACUCGACCUCAUGAAGUCGGAGUCGCUAGUAAUCGCAGAUCAGCAACGCUGCGGUGAAAACGUUCCCGGGCCUUGUACACUACCUCCC
rnacentral:rRNA from 2 species